rnacentral:tRNA from 1 species
UGGAUCACCUCCUAACAGGGAGACAAACAACGAUUUUGAUGUCUGAGUUUUUUUAUUCUUAGGCCAAAAUCCUGUCACCUUAGGUCGAUCGGUACCUCAACUUUGAAGCUAAGAGUAUUCAGCAAUGGAUAUCUGCUUAGUGGAAAUUUUUAGUUCCUAAACUUUGUCUAGUUCACAACCCAUUAGGGAUGAGACUCCUGGGCCAUUAGCUCAGGUGGUUAGAGCGCACCCCUGAUAAGGGUGAGGUCCCUGGUUCAAGUCCAGGAUGGCCCAUUCGGUGUAGGGGGUUUAGCUCAGUUGGUAGAGCGCCUGCUUUGCAAGCAGGAUGUCAGGAGUUCGAGUCUCCUAACCUCCACUGACUACCAAAAUCCCCAUCUCCAAAACCUGGAGUAUGAACUCGUAUGGAUUGUGAUUUAGAUGUGUCCGCUAGAUGACCCUAGCUUCUUGUCAUUUAAGGCAUGGAAAUAGUUCCAUGAUAUUUAAUUGAUAGGAUGCUGGGCUCGAUUCAAUGUAUUGAGAGAUCAAUGCAUUGUUUUGAUGUCUGGUCGAACCUUGACAACUGCAUAGUAAGUCUGGAAAGAAUAAAGCAUCUUUAUGGAUGCAUCAUUCUUGAGUGUUAAUUCACGAUGGGAUGGUGUUAAUUCUAAAGCAAGAGCCGAGACUCCAGCAUGUUCUUUCAAAUGUGUCGAGCAUUUGAGAGUUUGAUUUUAAUUUCUAUUUUUAGAAGUUAGAAGAAUCUGUUUCAACGACAGCAAGCGUGUUGGAGAUACAUUGGUCAAGCUACAAAGGGCUCACGGCGGAUACCUUGGCACACAGAGGCGAUGAAGG